GGCGUACCAACAAAGGAGAAUAGUAGAUCAACCAGGUGUGGUUGCGAUGCAAAGAUUCGUCUCCUGCGUUCUGCUAACAAUGGAUGGUAUAUCAGUGAGCACCACAGCGAGCAUAACCACCCAUCUAUUACAUGCGGGGAGAAGCUGCAUUGAAAGUCGCACAGGUACAUUGAUAUACACACUAGAGACUUGGUGAAGCAGUUACGAGAAAACAAUGUAAGCCUAAGCAAAGUAUACAGUAUUGUUGGAAGCUACUUCGGUACGUUGGAAAAUGUACCCUUCACCAAAAGAUCAUUGAGGACCCUAUGUGGUAAGCUUAGCAGAGACCAAUCUGAUCACGAUGCAAGCAAAACAAUAACCCUGCUACAGGACUUGAAAGUUGUUGAUCCUGACUUUAUAUACAAUGUCCAGGUGGACGAAGAGUCUAGGGUUAAGACACUUAUGUGGGUUUAUGGACGAGGCACUACUAGGAAAAGGGCUAUAGAUAGGAUUGACACUAAUGGCGCAUCAGGGUUGUAG
rnacentral:rRNA from 1 species